CUAAGACAGCGCGUGUGCUUUGAUAUGGACCAUUGGAAUUGUGGGUGUCUGCGGGCGGAGUUUGUGCCGGCUUGGUGAGGUGCGGCGUGAGAUUCUAAACAGAUGUUUCAAGUGGCUGUGCCCUGACCCAUGUCUGAGCUUGUCCACACUUCCAUCCUGAUGUCCUUAUGUGGGUGAAGAGGAUCCCAACCUGGAGCCUGGAUCCAACACUGAAAGGCCCAUAACUUCUGGUCCUCACCAUCUCUCCAGCAGUGAAGGUCCCCAAUGUCAUCCUGUGGAUCCAGCACACCCAGCUGAAGGAGGCUCCAAGAGAUAACAGAAAUGGGUCGUCACCAGAGUCUGAUAACUUUCAAAGACGUGGCUAUAGAGUUUUCCCAGGAGGAGUGGGAAUGCCUGGACUCUGCACAGAGGACUUUGUAUAGAGAUGUCAUGUUGGAGAUCUACAGCAUCCUGGUCUCUGUGGGCCUUUCGGUAUCAAAACCAGAGCUACUCACCUGUCUUGAACAAAAGGAAGAACUCUCCUUUGCAAAAGACAUAGAACCAGCCCGGUCUUGCUUUCAUAACAAGGAACUGUUCAAAAUAGAGAGCCAACAGGAAUCUGUCCAGAGAGAAGGAUCGGGAAAAUGUGGAAGGAACAGCCUUGGAGAGCUACAUGUAA
rnacentral:lncRNA from 1 species